rnacentral:rRNA from 1 species
AUUGAACGCUGGCGGCAUGGCUAAAGCAUGCAAGUCGAACGAGAACCACUUCGGUGGGGACAGUGGCGGAAGGGCGAGGAACGCGAUCGAACGUACCCCGAGGUGGGGGAUAGCGUCGGGAAACUGACAGUAAUACCCCAUGUGCUCUACGGAGGAAAGGUUUACCGCCUUGGGAGCGGCGAUCGUCCUAUCAGGUAGUUGGUGAGGUAAUGGCUCACCAAGCCGAAGACGGGUAGCGGGUGUGAGAGCAUGACCCGCCGCAUCGGGACUGAGACACUGCCCGGACUCCUACGGGAGGCUGCAGCAACGAAUAUUCCGCAAUGGGCGAAAGCCUGACGGAGCAAUGCCGCGUGUGGGAUGAAUCGGCUACGCCGUGUAAACCACUGUCAGGGUGCAGGAACACUGACCGCACCCAGAGGAAGGGCCGGCUAACCUCGUGCCAGCCGCCGCAGU